GGCGAACGCUGGCGGCGUGCCUAAUACAUGCAAGUAGAACGCACAGUUUAUACCGUAGCUUGCUACACCAUAGACUGUGAGUUGCGAACGGGUGAGUAACGCGUAGGUAACCUGCCUGGUAGCGGGGGAUAACUAUUGGAAACGAUAGCUAAUACCGCAUAAUAUUGAUUAUUGCAUGAUAAUUAAUUGAAAGGUGCAAUUGCACCACUACCAGAUGGACCUGCGUUGUAUUAGCUAGUAGGUGAGGUAACGGCUCACCUAGGCGACGAUACAUAGCCGACCUGAGAGGGUGAUCGGCCACACUGGGACUGAGACACGGCCCAGACUCCUACGGGAGGCAGCAGUAGGGAAUCUUCGGCAAUGGACGAAAGUCUGACCGAGCAACGCCGCGUGAGUGAAGAAGGGUUUCGGAUCGUAAAGCUCUGUUGUAAGAGAAGAACGGGUGUGAGAGUGGAAAGUUCACACUGUGACGGUAUCUUACCAGAAAGGGACGGCUAACUACGUG
rnacentral:rRNA from 1 species